UCUUUUAGUUUUGGGACAUUUGCUAAAAACAACCCAAAUAUUCAAGUCAAAUCUAAAAGUGUACCCCACUUUCAGUCAAAUGCAAAACCAACCUAAAAGGGUAGUGAAAAUACUAGUUAACCCUUAUGACCAAACAAAAAAACAGAAAUGUAUUUUACGUUUCUAUCCUUCGGAAGUCUACACGUAAUAAAAGAAGUCUACAUAUAUAUAGAUUUCCUACGAUGUCUACCUUAUAGACUUAUUUUGUAGUCUACACUCUAAUUUGAUCUAAUAAUUUAAUUUUGAAAAUGUAUAAAAAUAAUUAUUGUGAUAUUUUUAACUAAUCAUCAAUAUAAUGGAUAAUAUGAACUAAAUAAAUUAAAAUUUCAUAUAAUUGAACAAUUUUGAAGAAUAUAUACUAAUUUGGUUAUCAUGUGUUAGACAAUGUUCAUAGUUUAGAAACAAAAUGUUCUUACAUGUUAUGUCUUUUAGUAGUUGAUUUCAUAGGGUUGGAUUUUAGAUUUUGUUUUUUUUAUUGUUUUGUUAUCUUAAAUCUGCAUAGUAAUGUUUAGUAGUUUAUAUUUUGUACAAUUGAGACUUUUUGAUUAUCAAGCAAAACAUUUAGCGUUUGAGAUUUGUGGUUUAGGGUUUAGGGUUUCGUAGACCUACAAUAAAGUCUAUUUAUCUGUAGACGUCCUUUUCAGUCUAUUUUAUUGGUAUUUACAAAAAAUCUUAAAUUUUAAAUUAAAUUUAGGGUAUAGUAGACGUCUUUUUGGUCUACUAGGAUACAAUUGAUUAAUUUAGGGUAUAGUAGACGUCUUUUUUAGUUUAAUAAGACCUGAAAUUACAAAAAAGAUUGAUUAAAUUUUGUUUUUAUGGAAACGGAAAUGAUAUCAUAUAUUAAACUUAUUAUAAAAAUAAAGAAAAAAUAAAUAAAUUAUAUAUAUAAAUAAAGAACAAAAAAUAAUUUAUAUAAAUAUAUAAAUAUAUAUAUAAAAAAUUGUAAUAGACAUACCGAUUGUAGACCUACUUGUGUGUCUACGGAACCGGAAACAAUUUAAUUUAACCAAAAUAAUAUAAUCUAACAAGUAUUAAACCAGAAAAGUUUUAACCUAACCGGAUAACUUUCCCGACAUAUAAAUACAAUUUUUAGUCUUCAUUUGGUAAAAAAAGACAAACCCUAGCGGCCGUUACUCUCUCUCUCUCUCUCUCUCUCGGGCGAUUUCCGGUGAAGUCAACCCGUUUCUGCCGCUUACACUGGUUGCCGUCCCGCUGCUGCUGCUAUAUCUUCCCUCUGUAAGAUCUGAGCCGGCGAAGGAACAUUGUGUAUGUAUGUCUCUCUAUCCAACUGUUGAGCUUUUGAAGGGCUUGAGAAAGAAGAGGGCCACCUCAAAACAACUAAUCACAACAAUAUUGUAACUUCAGCUCGUUCAACUUCUCUACUCUUUUCAAGAGAAAUCAUGAGUAGGCUAUAAGCAAUCUAGCUAGAGUAGUGAUGAUUCUUCUGCCAUAACCGGCAUUGACAGCUUGCUGGCAAGUGAGGUGCCUAUCGGUUAUCAGGCUGGGACUUUCACUUUAGAGGACUGACCUACAGUCCUGGCAUGGCUCGGUCUAGGCGUUUAAGAGAGAUUCUCCACCGGUUGUAGACUUCAAUAGCGAUCUUGAAACUCUCUGAGACGAGAAAAUUGCAAGAAGGCGGAAGCUUUGUAUCCACUGUCAAUACUGUAUCACAACCAACUGUUACGGACAUUGCAGCAUCAGUAUGUCUAUGGAGUUCUUGUAUUUUAAGCCAUGGCCACAUUCAUUGGCCAAGUCUAUGUUCUAUCGUUGAUUGCACUCUUUGUGGCCGCUUCAACUGCCCUGAUUGUGCAACCAUUUUUUGGCUAGAAUUGGAGGAUAUGAAGUUUUUGGUAAUAGGUGUUUGUAUUAUAUGCCUUUGUACUAGCUAUAUUGUAUUGUGCUUUUGUAUCACUGCUGUAUUAUGUAAUUUUCUUGGAUAUUCUGUACUGAAGUGUACUCGACCGAAAGUAGACUUGUUUAAUACAACUCCAAAUGAAUACAUCAAA